AUUUUUUGAGAAGUGCACAUCAGUGACGGCGACGGCCACAUCGAAGGGCUAUGCGUCAGCGCCAUAGCAUACGCCGGCGUUUGACGCAGAAGUAUAAAUCAGCCUUAAGUCAAGAACCAAAUGAAGCACCAGAGUACAGAUUAUGGAGGUAUCUGAAGUUGAACUAACUGGAAGCAGGGAACCAUACUAAUAAAGUUCCUUAAGCAGUUUCCUUGUAAAGAUGAACCCAGGGAAGGAUCGAAAGUGGAGAAGACCAGAUCAAGAAAGACUACAUCAAGAUCUGCGGUCAGUUCAAAGGUACUUUCACUAAUUACCAAGAUUUCAGACUAUGAAUUGAUGGAGAAAACUUUGAGUGUCAGAUCUUCCUACAUCGCCUAGCAAAAAUUCUUCCCAGUGUCUUGUAGUAGAAGUGAUGCAGUCAAUCGAGUUUACAUUAUUUCGUAAAUUGCUUUCUGAUUUAAUAAAAAAUAUAUUAACCAAAUUUGAUUAAUGUAACAAUUUUGAUGAAAAGGGCAUGUUUUACUAAAGCUUUUAGCACAAAGGCACCCCCAACUUGGAAUAUUGCUGUGUCUGACGUCACGGGGUUGGUAUGCUGGAAAAGUUUUUGAAUGAGGAUGUUUUGCAUUGGACUGUUUUUUUUGGCUUUGACCCUUGCUUGCCCCUGACCUCACUCUUGGACUGCCCUGUUGGAUUUUCAGUUUAUUUAAUUAAAAAAAAAAAUUUUGGUUCUGGGUAGAUGCUAAUAAAUAUUUAAUU